rnacentral:rRNA from 1 species
ACGGGAGGCAGCAGUAGGGAAUAUUGCACAAUGGGGGGAACCCUGAUGCAGCAACGCCACGUGUGGGAAGAAGCAUUUCGGUGUGUAAACCACUGUCGUGAGGGAAUAAUGCUUGGUCUCGGCCAAGUUGAAUGUACCUCGAAAGGAAGCACCGGCAAACUUCGUGCCAGCAGCCGCGGUAAUACGAGGGGUGCAAGCGUUGUUCGGAAUCACUGGGCGUAAAGGGAGCGUAGGCGGAGACGCAAGCAGUCUGUGAAAUCCCGGGGCCCAACCCCGGACCUGCAGACUAGACUGUGUCUCUUGGAUAGUUCAGAGGCAGGCGGAAUUCCUUGUGUAGCGGUGGAAUGCGUAGAGAUCAGGAAGAACACCGAUGGCGAAGGCAGCCUGCUGGGGACUCAUCGACGCUGAGGCUCGAAAGUGCGGGUAGCAAACAGGAUUAGAUACCCUGGUA